AAGAAGGGGAAGCUAGUUUGUUUGAAGAACAAGGCCUAAGCGAUUUUGGUCAAAAUUGCUGUUUUUAUUUGCUAAGUUUAAUACGUUGUUUUCCGUAUUUGCGUAUUUUGUUUUAAUAACGCCAAUUAGAUUAUUUUCAGCCAUUCAAAGAGUCUGUACAAAGGUUACAAGUGCUAGUAUUGGUCAAAGUGGUGGACACCUCCUUGAUCCUGUGUUGUGUUUACAAUCUAACACAGCAGGAGCUCUAUCGGACUGGGGUCUUGUUACAGCAGAUGUGCUUUUGGGAAUCCAUAGCUCCCCUGAGGACCACCACCCUUCCCUGAUAGCAGCCUGCCUUCUCCAACUUCAGCGUUCCCAUUCAUCUCUAAAUAAGACAUGGACAGUAGACCAUACACACAGCUUCAAUGGACGAACUGAGAGCUCUCGG